UCCUUCCCUUCUCCUAUUUCUCAAACUUCAAUAAACAAAAUCAUUCACUCUUCUCUUUAGGCCUUACCUCCUUCAUUGAUUAAUCAUUAGAAAGAUGUAACCCAAAAAGCCAAAUGGGGAGAGAAGAGAAAAAAAAAAAGUUGGAUUUCUCCUUUCCUUUUCUUCAUCCUGUGCACCCUUCCCUCCUUAUCCUACGCACCCAAACCCAAACCAACCUCAAAAAAUUUAUAUAUUCGUUGGCAUCAUCAAAAUACAGUAAAAACCUAACAAUGUCAAAAUAUUGGCCCAUCCAACCAUUCAGUGGGGCCCCAAUUAUUGCCUGCGCGUGUUUUUUCAUUUUUUUUUUCUCUCUUCCGCUUUCCCUUUCUCUUCUUCGAUUUGCAUUUGCUUGUGUUUGGAGGGUCAAUUUCCAGACUCCCUACAGAAAUUCUUUUGUUGUUGUGCCCACACCUCUUAAAUUGUGAUAAAACACAAUAAAACGAGGAUAAAGGAAGAGGCGAUUGAUCCAUUGAUAAGUUUAUCUAUUUGCAGUAACAAGUAAUUUUGAAUUUUAAUUUUACUGAUGAUUUCCUUAAUAUCAAAUUUACUAAUAUCGUUUUGUAUAUGAAUAUUUGAAUUGAUAAUUACUAUAUUUAUUUAAAA
rnacentral:lncRNA from 1 species